ACGUACACUCCUACGGGAGGCAGCAGUGGGGAAUUUUGGACAAUGGGCGAAAGCCUGAUCCAGCCAUGCCGCGUGCAGGAUGAAGGCCUUCGGGUUGUAAACUGCUUUUGUACGGAACGAAACGGCCUUUUCUAAUAAAGAGGGCUAAUGACGGUACCGUAAGAAUAAGCACCGGCUCACUACGUGCCAGCAGCCGCGGUAAUACGUAGGGUGCAAGCGUUAAUCGGAAUUACUGGGCGUAAAGCGUGCGCAGGCGGUUAUGUAAGACAGUUGUGAAAUCCCCGGGCUCAACCUGGGAACUGCAUCUGUGACUGCAUAGCUAGAGUACGGUAGAGGGGGAUGGAAUUCCGCGUGUAGCAGUGAAAUGCGUAGAUAUGCGGAGGAACACCGAUGGCGAAGGCAAUCCCCUGGACCUGUACUGACGCUCAUGCACGAAAGCGUGGGGAGCAAACAGGAUUAGAAACCCCAGUAGUCCCAUGAU
rnacentral:rRNA from 1 species